CACCAUUCGAGUGUGGGAACUCGAUACAGCAACUAAAACAAUCCAUCCAUCUGAAUGCUACGCGGGGCAACUGAGAGGAAUCAGCGUGUGUGUUCAGAUGACAGACGAUGAUGGUGAUUUUCAUCUUGGCACGACGAGUGGAGAUGUCCUGAAAGUGAACACAAGCAGCAAGGUGCUGACUGCCUGUGGGCCCCAGAAGAAGAAGUUGAGCAUGGUGAGUAGCAGCUCUGUGACUCCAAUUCUGUCCUUGUCCUGCUCUUUGUCAGUGACUGAAGGUAGAGCAACCUGCGGGAGAACCAUCACAAAGCGGGUUCUCAGACUAACGCUUUUCCUGCGCUGUCAGGAACGACCCCUGAACGACCACCAGAGGACACUGCGCAUGCUUAGAGUAGUUCCAAGGUGUUGCAACUGAUAUUGUGAAAUAAUUGUGUAACCUAAUGAAUAUGCAAUAUACACGUUGUAACUUCAAUGAAUAUGUAUGUAACCAAAUUGUAUAGAAUGGUGAAGUUUGAAUCAGUGGUCGGAACCAGCUUUGGGUGCGAGCCCCUGGUUUCCCAGCGCUGAAAUAAAGCACCGCAUAUAACUAC